CUCGGAACACCUGCGUAGUAACACAAACCUCGCACUCGACAAUAGCCGGAACCCCUACGGUGUGGAAGGCCAGGUUGCACUCACUCGUACCCAUGCUAAUUAUCGGAAAGGCGGAACGCAAAUAAUACGCUUAAUUGAAUUUGAAACACAAAUAAAGUUUAUUAAAGAACCGAUCAAAAGUGUAAACAUGAAUCAAAAGGCCGAAAGACAUCCUACAAAUUUAGACAGAAUACAUUUAAAGCCAAAAAGUGCCAGGUUCCCCUAGAACUCGUCGGACAAAAGAACCGUGCUAAAAAAAAUUCCGACUCACUGUUCACAGAGGUGAAAUCUAGAGGGAAAAUCUGGAGAAUGAUAGGUAACAUUGGAUACGCUAAACCUUAGACCAUAUAGUACAUGGACUGCUAUUAGCCCUAUGCUUUCAAUACAAAAUGGAUGGUCACGGGUAGAGGGCACUGUAGUCGUGGGUAUGUGAAUCUCAGUGUAAACUAAAGUCGUUUAAACACCACUUGCAUCGCGUAAAGAGCAUCUUCCAUAACUACCGAGUAGUACGGGAAGCUUUAAAUACUCUUGAUUAUCUUCUACACGUCCACAAAUAAGAAUAGGUUGACAGUGUCAAAUCGUUUUUAAUCGGAUAGCUUCGGACAGAUUCGUUUACCCUGAAACUCACAUACCCAGGCGAUGUCCUUGACCAUAUUUUAGUUACAAUUAGCAGUCCAUGUACUAUAUGGUCUAAGCGCUAAACACAUUUUGCAACACAGCUACAAUAGUUAUACAAAGAAUAAUAAUCCGAGUAAUCGAAUUGGAUAGAUUGAAAUCUGACGUUAAUACAAUACAAACUUGAUAAGUUAAAGGAUGGCCAUCACAAGUAGAUUUAAAAAGCACCUUCAAUCCUUUCUCAUGUGUGAAAGAUACAUUCCGAAGUCUCUUU